GAUGAAGAACGUAGCGAAAUGCGAUAAGUAAUGCGAAUUGCAGAAUCCGUGAGUCAUCGAAUCUUUGAACGCACAUUGCGCCCUCUGGUAUUCCGGAGGGCAUGCCUGUUCGAGCGUCAUUAUCACCCCUCAAGCCCGGCUUGUUGUUGGAUGCAGCGCUUAUCCCGCUCCUCCCAAAGAUAAUGACGGCGUCUGCGACGACUCCUGUACACUGAGCUUUCGGGCACGCACACGGCUAGAAGUCCAGACCCGGUCGCCGUCCCCCCCGCGGGGACACCCAUUACCACAAGGUUGACCUCGGAUCAGGUAGGAAUACCCGCUGAACUUAAGCAUAUCAAUAAGCGGGGA
rnacentral:misc_RNA from 1 species